rnacentral:tRNA from 1 species
AUCCUUAUACUAGCAGAUAAAUGCAAUAGACUUAGAUUCUACUCAUCCUAAC